rnacentral:rRNA from 1 species
CAGUAGCCGCGGGAAUACAGAGGGUGCGAGCGUUAAUCGGAUUUACUGGGCGUAAAGCGUGCGUAGGCGGCUUUUUAAGUCGGAUGUGAAAUCCCUGAGCUUAACUUAGGAAUUGCAUUCGAUACUGGGAAGCUAGAGUAUGGGAGAGGAUGGUAGAAUUCCAGGUGUAGCGGUGAAAUGCGUAGAGAUCUGGAGGAAUACCGAUGGCGAGGGCAGCCAUCUGGCCUAAUACUGACGCUGAGGUACGAAAGCAUGGGGAGCAAACAGGAUUAGAUACCCCUGUAGUCCCUGUCUCUUAUAU